rnacentral:rRNA from 1 species
GAUGAACGCUGGCGGCGUGCCUAAUACAUGCAAGUCGAGCGAACAGACGAGGAGCUUGCUCCUUUGACGUUAGCGGCGGACGGGUGAGUAACACGUAGGUAACCUACCUAUAAGACUGGGAUAACUUCGGGAAACCGGAGCUAAUACCGGAUAAUAUUUCGAACCGCAUGGUUCGAUAGUGAAAGAUGGCUUUGCUAUCACUUAUAGAUGGACCUGCGCCGUAUUAGCUAGUUGGUAAGGUAACGGCUUACCAAGGCAACGAUACGUAGCCGACCUGAGAGGGUGAUCAGCCACACUGGAACUGAGACACGGUCCAGACUCCUACGGGAGGCAGCAGUAGGGAAUCUUCCGCAAUGGGCGAAAGCCUGACGGAGCAACGCCGCGUGAGUGAUGAAGGUCUUCGGAUCGUAAAGCUCUGUUAUUAGGGAAGAACAACCGUGUAAGUAACUGUGCACGUCUUGACGGUACCUAAUCAGAAAGCAACGGCUAACUACGUG